GGAUUCAUAAAGAACACUUGAUAAUAUUUUAUAACAACCAUAUAGGAAGCAAGGCCAUGUCGCGCAGUCCCUCCGCUUGUGAGACCGAUGUCGACAUUCCUAGAUAGACCAUCUGGUAUGAUCGAGCUAGUUAGAUAUUGUUAGUUAGAUAUCCCUCUGCUGUUCUAUGUUCAUUUGCACCCGCUACAGCGGAAGAGGUUUCUGCUCUGCUCUAGUCCUCCCGCCCCACCACCUGCUCCCCAGAUGCAAUUCCCUUGCAUCUCAUCCGUACUCCGUCUUUUUCUCUUUCUCUACCUCUCACUAAAAUUCUCAAUCUCUCUCUCUCUCCUCUGGGAUAUUUCCAUCACCCUUUAAACAUGCAACUAUAACCCCAAUUCUAAAGAAGCCCAACCUUCACCCUAACUCUUCGUCCAACUACGUCCUAUCUCGCUACUGAAUUUUGCAUCCAUAUAGUUACAUAGUUACAUAGCUGAAAAGAGACUUACGUCCAUCAAGUUCAGCCUUCCUCACAUUUGUUUUUUGCUGUUGAUCCAUCCAUCCAAGAUCCUUGAAAGAGUUGUGUAUGCAAGAUUAACAGACUUGCUCGAGUCCAACUUUCUGCUAGACCCGCUUCAGUCUGGUUUCCACGCUAAGCACUCUGAUCAAAGUAUCCAAUGAUCUACUCGCUGCAAAAUCUUGUGGUCACCACUCUAUCCUAAUUCUCCUUGACCGUUCUGCGGCUUUUGACACUGUUGAUCAUCAACAGCUUCUUCUCAUCCUCCGCAAUAUCGGUCUACGAGAUAUUGCUCUCUCCUGCUGCUCCUCCUAUCUCUCCCAGCGCUUUUUCACUGCUUCUUCUCCCCAACUCCUAUCUGUUGGUGUCCCCCAAGGUUCAGUCCUUGGUCCCCUACUGUUCUCUAUCUAUACUGCCUCCUUUGGUAAGCUCAAUAGCUUCCAAUAUCAUUUCUAUGCGGAUGACACGCAAAUCUAUCUGUCGUCUCCUAAUGUCUCUCCGUCCCUCUUGACUAGUGUCUCUGACUGCCUCUCUGCUAUUUCUAACUGGAUGGCUGCCCACUUCCUUAAACUCAACUCGACCAAAACUGAAAUUCUGGUCUUUCCUCCCUCAAGUGUUGCUACUCCUGUGUCUGUCUCCCUCCAAAGUCAACGGUGCUAACAUCAGCUCCACCACACAGACUCGCUGCCUAGGUGUUCUCUUUGACUCCUCUCCUUCACGCCUCAUGUUCAGUCUAUCGCCAAAUCCUGCCGCUUCCAUCUCAAAAACAUUGCGCACAUCCGACCCUACUUAACACCAGAUGCGACUAAGGUGCUGGUCCAUUCCACUGUCCUUUCUCGCCUUAACUACUGUAAUCCGCAUCUCAGUGGUCUUAUGUGCUCUCAACUUGCGCCGUUACAGUCCAUAAUGAAUGCGGCGACAAGGCUCAUCUUCCUGUCUGCCUGCACCGCCCAUGCCUCACCUUUCUGUCAGUCCCUACAUAGGCUUUCUGUAAGAUAUAGGGCUCAAUUUAAAAUUCUGGUUCUUGCUUUCAAAUCUCUACAUAAUGCUGCUCCCACCUAUCUAUCCUCCCUAAUACACAAGUAUGUCCUUUCUAGGCCCUUUCGCUCUCCUGAAGACUUACAUCUAUCUUCUGUCCGUAAUCCCACCUCUGAUUCUUGCCUUCAAGACUUCUCGAGGGCUUCCCUCCUCCGUUAGAUGCUCACCCAGUCUCCACUCCUUCAUAAAAUCAUUAAAAACCCACUUCUUCAUAAAAGCGUAUUAAUUAAACUGUUAAUAGCCCCCGACUGAUUCCUCUCUUUCAUCUGUCAUUAGUCUAAUACUAUCCUUACCUUUUUGUGUCACUUUACC
rnacentral:lncRNA from 1 species